CACCAAGUUAAUUACGUUACUUUUGUUUCAUGUCACAAAAAUGAGAACAGUGGGUUAUGGAGAGUACAAAAAGUAACAUGACGUAUCAAGGGAAUACGAGUAUACCGGUGCCAUCACAAUGAAAGCAUUAAGAAAAUACAAAACCUUAAUUGGUAGUCGUCAACGGACGUUCACCCGUCACCAUAGGCGGAGUCAAGCUUAUUUUAUAAAGUUUAUAUAAAUGGCUGGUCCAAGAAUUGAUUCAAAAGGGUGAAUUGUACCAAAAUGAGUCCGAAGAACAGUGAACCGGGGAAAAAGAGAAUGUGAUUUUUCUACCAAAAUUUCGAGUACUGCUGCAAUACAGCUAAAAAUAUAUAUGUAUUUUCAGUUGCACACGCAUAUGACAUACAACGAGACUGUCGCCGUAUAGCUUUUAGCGAUGUCGGCAGAUCCAACCACAAUGAUUCAUAUAUUAUUAUUAUUAUUAUUAUUAUUGCUAUUAUUAUUACAGAAUAGGUGUUGUGAGGACCGACGGAAUGGACAGAAAAACGAUUACCAUCCGAGCGAAAGAGAUAUUAUAACAGCGGAAAACAAAUUGCUGGGCCGUGUUGUAUUUUAAUGGUUCGACGAUAGUGGCGGGCGAAGGAUAUACCACACGUAAUAGCUGCGGAAGUGACUAAGGCUAAGAAGAAUUACUUACGCUUGUUCUGGUUCGGAUCACUUCCCAUGGACAAAGAACGAUGCAACAAUUAUUACGAUAAUUAUACACCUCUUCAUUAAUAUAACAAUAAUAACGGAUUUGAGCAAAAUAAUAAAGACGAAGGCUAUAGACCUAUAUGUUACAAUUCUCCCAUGCACUGUACAAAUGUUCCCGAGCACAUAUGAAGAAACUGGAAAGGAAGUUGGUAAAACCAAAACGCUACUGUGAUAUUGUCUUUUGUUUGCAACGUGUAGUCGACGGAAGUAUUGAUAUCAAUGAUAACGGCCGCAAAGUAGUACAAAUGUAUAGUUAAUUGUUGUUAUUUCAAUGUGUAGUGAACUAAAAGUUGUUAACUUGCAUUUUCAGCUAUUUUUCAAUAAAUAAAUCCAUAAAUGACUGGUAAAAAAAAAAAAGUCA